rnacentral:rRNA from 1 species
AACGAACGCUGGCGGCAGGCUUAACACAUGCAAGUCGAGCGCCCCGCAAGGGGAGCGGCAGACGGGUGAGUAACGCGUGGGAACGUACCCUUUACUACGGAAUAACGCAGGGAAACUUGUGCUAAUACCGUAUGUGCCCUUUGGGGGAAAGAUUUAUCGGUAAAGGAUCGGCCCGCGUUGGAUUAGCUAGUUGGUGGGGUAAAGGCCUACCAAGGCGACGAUCCAUAGCUGGUCUGAGAGGAUGAUCAGCCACAUUGGGACUGAGACACGGCCCAAACUCCUACGGGAGGCAGCAGCGGGGAAUAUUGGACAAUGGGCGCAAGCCUGAUCCAGCCAUGCCGCGUGAGUGAUGAAGGCCUUAGGGUUGUAAAGCUCUUUCACCGGGGAAGAUAAUGACGGUACCCGGAGAAGAAGCCCGGCUAACUUCGUGCCAGCCGCCGCAGUAA